AACAAAGCGAUGACGAAGAGAAGUAACAUGAAUUAUCGUUUACAGUGAGCGGGGAAUAGUGAGAACCCUGUAAAGUGAAUUCAUGUGAAUAACACUUCAUCAGCUUCAAUCUGAAAGUCAUAUGGGAUAUGACGAGUAGGUGCGACGUAGGCCGAACGUUAAAGCGGCAAACACUGAGGAGUGACUGUACAAAGGGGUAUAGUAAUUCAGGUGGUACCGCGGACAAUAAUGCUGUUCGCCCUGAAA
rnacentral:ncRNA from 1 species